UAAGAACAAGAUCUAAGUCUUUAUUACGUAAAAAAUAGGAAUCAAAUAACAUAAUCCAUCAUUGGAAAAUUAGUUCAUGAUAGCAAAUAAAAUCAUCCCAAAGACAAUAUAACCACAAGAAAUAAAGAAACUCAUAAUAAACUUCAGAGAAAUCAAAAGGAGAUAUUCAAUCUUGAUAAAAAUCUGCUUCGGAGUAAGCUUUAUUGGUGUUUUUGAGUUGUUUUCUUGAGUACUCAAUGACGGCUUUCACCCCUCUUUUUAUCUUUGUCAUAUAUAGAUCUUAGAAUGUCUGAAAAACCUAAAGAUUGAGUUUUUCCGCGUGUUUGGAGUGCAAUUUGUGAUUUCCACACGAUUUGGCACAAUGGCCAUGUGUCCAGCCCGUGUGGCUCUUGAAGCUUGCUUCGAUUUUUCGAUUUCCCCUCGUUUUUCGCUUCUUUUACUCUCAAAUGCUCUUCUAGGUAUAGGAAUAUGAAUUUAAAGGAUUAGGAGUAUAAAAUUCACAAUUUAAC
rnacentral:lncRNA from 1 species